AUCUUACAUGGAAGUAACAUGUUUUGUUUAGCUUGUUCUCAUUGGUUCUAGAAAUUGCGCACCACACGACCACACCAACACCGUCUCGAUCCGUCUCUCUCGGUCUCUAUUCCACCCUCUUCUCCCAGUCCUCGCGGACUCCUCGCAGGCGCCGCCACGGACCCUCCCCAGUCCUGCCUGUAGGCCUGUCGCGCCUCCCCGGCCCGACGAAUACGACCACAUCCAUGACGCCACGCCAUCCAUGCAUCA
rnacentral:lncRNA from 1 species